rnacentral:misc_RNA from 1 species
UUUUUUUGUCUUGGCUGAAGCUCCAAUAUACUGGAUCCCCCCAAUCUCAACAGUACAUUUAAAAUGUGUAGUUCGACCAGGUGUCUCAUUCUUUUGACACUGGUACACUGGAAUCGCAUAAUUCAUCUUCUGUGCAUAUUCCUGAAGCAAGUUUUUGCAAAGUCCUGUUUCAUGCUGGAAAAAUAGAAGUAAAGGUCAGCAAUGAAGGAACAACAACAAAAUAGCAGGAAAAAAUUAUGGUUAGAAUGAAACGCUAAAGCGUCAUUUACCAUUCAACAAACUUUGAAACUCUAUGAAUGCGGGCAAUUCAUAUUUGGAUUAUAAAAAAACAUAAGCACCACUUUACCAUCCAAACGACAUCAAAAUAAUUUAAUCCUAAAACCAAUUUUCUCUCUCCGCCAUAUAAUCUCUUUGAUAAACUUCCCAUCACAUUUUCAUAAGCAUAUCUUCCAUUCCAGCACACUUUAAUUCACUCUCAUGUCAUCUCUAUAAUUUUUUCAACUUUUAUCUCUAAAUUGUACAACCCAAAUUCUAAUUCAAUGUGUGUGUUUUUGUCACAGACAUCCAUUACCAACCACUAAAGAUGAAAAAUGACAUUUUCAUCAGCAUUAUUUGUCAAUGUUACAGCAUUUUUUCUAUUCAUUAAAAACAAUCUUCAGUAAGAUUUGUUUUGUAUCUCUCUAUGAGAUUUUAUUUUUCCUACAUCUCAUCUUUUAACCUCUGUAUAUAGUUGAAUUCAAAUACAAAAUUUUUUUUUUUUGGUUCAUAUGUGUUUGUUAUUGUUGUUGUUAGUGACUCAUUGAGAUUCUGAUUUUUAGUUCAGUCUUUCAUAGAAAAUGUAGGAUUUUAAUCAAUUUCAAAAAGCCAAAUAAAACCAAACUGCAUCCAAUAUGCCCAAUUACAGUGGUUCUGAGUUUAUCUUUAGUCCACUGUGGUCAUGACGUUAUGCAACCAGACAAGCAUGGCUUGGGUGAAAAAAUAAUAGGUGCAGACCAAACAAAACUAAACCAGGUAUGGCCCUACUGCUGCAUACAUGUGAAGCAUAGCACUGAAGACCUUUAAAUUAAAGAAAAGCAGCCAACCCUAUUCUCUCUCUUUUCCAAAAAAAGAGCAGCUAGAACAGCCAGCAUAUAUAGUUUCUACUAUACUGAGCAUUCUCCUAUGUCAUGUUGUUCAUAGUAAUUUUCUGGGAGCUGCAAAUUUCAAUAAAUCAGCAUAUUGCUGGAUAUAAAUAUUGAACCAAGCACUGAAAAAGAGCUAAUUUAAUUGUGAGAAACCAUUAUGGAAGACUACAAACUUUAGCUUUAUCGCUCCCUAGGGCAAUGUACACUCCAAAAAGUUAAAUGAAGUAUAAGGAACUGGAGAUAAAUGUUGGAAAUUAUGCUAGUAAAAAUAGAAGUUACACAUAGUAUUUUGCACUCUGCUUAUUUAUUGCUUCCAAGAAAUCCAACCAUAUCCUCUUGAACAAGAAAUUAACCAACUGCAAGAAUAAAAACUAUUUACAACUGGAAAUCUAAAAUUCCAAUAAUCUUAUAUAGCACAAGGCCCCAAAAAGAAAAGAGAAAGGCAGGGAGCAAUUAUAGCAAUGACCUUUUGUAUAAUAUCAUACCAUAACUAAAUAGUAUUAUGGAAUGGAAGGGUAUUAAAACCACAAAACUCCCAAUAACCUAGCUUUUAACACUGGUUUAGUCAAGGACAGGAUGAACUUACAACAGGCUGGGAAAUGCAUUCAUUGACUUCAUCAGAUUUAGCCAACUCCAAUAGAGCAACCUCUGCAGCUGACUGCUCUGCAGCCUUCCUAUUGAAAAAACCAGGCAAAGAAUCAUAUCUAACAUCUUUGACAAUCACUGUUGACCUGAAGGAAGGCUCGUGUGAAGGGCCUUCCUUGAUUGUCUCAUACACAGGGGUUGGCAGUCCCUUUUUUUGUGCAUACUCUUGUAAACGGCUCUUAAACACAUAGCAAUUGGAUACACCAGAGAAGCCAUCGUUUGUGGGCAUAGCUACGAGAGUUCUCCAGAGAAAUUCUGGACUGAUUUGGGUUCUUGAGAUUGAUAACCGCACGAGCAAAGAUACAAAAAAGCGAAGCAGCGAUCGAAUCCCAGUAAUUAGCUCUUAGAAGAAGGGAAGAAGAGAAACAAAUGGUUUCUAGAGAUUCUGUGCAAAGGAAGAACGGGAAUAAGGUACGUGAAAGUGAUUCUCUGUUUUUAUUGCGGAGAAAACUCACGCGUACACUGUGGCUUCUGCAGGAGUCAAAUCAGGGCCGUCGGAAAGGCGUUUUAUUUGCGGUGGGCAUGGUGGAGGUUUAUCGGAUUCGGACUG